rnacentral:piRNA from 1 species
UAACCCAAGAGUGGUGGACCUGUGACUUU